UUUCCGUAGGUGAACCUGCGGAAGGAUCAUUAAAGUUAUAGUCCCCUGGCCCUCUGGGCUGGGGUCUUCUAUACCACCCUUUGCUUAUUACACCUUUGUUGCUUUGGCAGGCCUGCCCUCGGGCUGCUGGCUCCGGCCGGCGAGCGCCUGCCAGAGGACCUAAACUCUGUUUGUCUAUAAUGUCUGAGUACUAUAUAAUAGUUAAAACUUUCAACAACGGGUCUCUUGGUUCUG
rnacentral:misc_RNA from 1 species